rnacentral:rRNA from 1 species
UCUCCGGGGGUAGAGCACUGUUUCGGCUAGGGGGCCAUCCCGGCUUACCAACCCGAUGCAAACUGCGAAUACCGGAGAAUGUUAUCACGGGAGACACACGGCGGGUGCUAACGUCCGUCGUGAAGAGGGAAACAACCCAGACCGCCAGCUAAGGUCCCAAAGUCAUGGUUAAGUGGGAAACGAUGUGGGAAGGCCCAGACAGCCAGGAUGUUGGCUUAGAAGCAGCCAUCAUUUAAAGAAAGCGUAAUAGCUCACUGGUCGAGUCGGCCUGCGCGGAAGAUGUAACGGGGCUAAACCAUGCACCGAAGCUGCGGCAGCGACACUGUGUGUUGUUGGGUAGGGGAGCGUUCUGUAAGCCUGUGAAGGUGUGUCGUGAGGCAUGCUGGAGGUAUCAGAAGUGCGAAUGCUGACAUAAGUAACGAUAAAGCGGGUGAAAAGCCCGCUCGCCGGAAGACCAAGGGUUCCUGUCCAACGUUAAUCGGGGCAGGGUGAGUCGACCCCUAAGGCGAGGCCGAAAGGCGUAGUCGAUGGGAAACGGGUUAAUAUUCCCGUACUUGGUGUUACUGCGAAGGGGGGACGGAGAAGGCUAUGUUGGCCGGGCGACGGUUGUCCCGGUUUAAGCGUGUAGGUGUGUGUUCCAGGUAAAUCCGGUUCACUUUAACACUGAGGCGUGACGACGAGGCACUACGGUGCUGAAGCAACAAAUGCCCUGCUUCCAGGAAAAGCCUCUAAGCAUCAGGUAACAUCAAAUCGUACCCCAAACCGACACAGGUGGUCAGGUAGAGAAUACCAAGGCGCUUGAGAGAACUCGGGUGAAGGAACUAGGCAAAAUGGUGCCGUAACUUCGGGAGAAGGCACGCUGACACGUAGGUGAAGUGAUUUACUCAUGGAGCUGAAGUCAGUCGAAGAUACCAGCUGGCUGCAACUGUUUAUUAAAAACACAGCACUGUGCAAACACGAAAGUGGACGUAUACGGUGUGACGCCUGCCCGGUGCCGGAAGGUUAAUUGAUGGGGUCAGCGCAAGCGAAGCUCCUGAUCGAAGCCCCGGUAAACGGCGGCCGUAACUAUAACGGUCCUAAGGUAGCGAAAUUCCUUGUCGGGUAAGUUCCGACCUGCACGAAUGGCGUAAUGAUGGCCAGGCUGUCUCCACCCGAGACUCAGUGAAAUUGAACUCGCUGUGAAGAUGCAGUGUACCCGCGGCAAGACGGAAAGACCCCGUGAACCUUUACUAUAGCUUGACACUGAACAUUGAGCCUUGAUGUGUAGGAUAGGUGGGAGGCUUUGAAGUGUGGACGCCAGUCUGCAUGGAGCCGACCUUGAAAUACCACCCUUUAAUGUUUGAUGUUCUAACGUGGACCCGUUACCCGGGUUGCGGACAGUGUCUGGUGGGUAGUUUGACUGGGGCGGUCUCCUCCUAAAGAGUAACGGAGGAGCACGAAGGUUGGCUAAUCCUGGUCGGACAUCAGGAGGUUAGUGCAAUGGCAUAAGCCAGCUUGACUGCGAGCGUGACGGCGCGAGCAGGUGCGAAAGCAGGUCAUAGUGAUCCGGUGGUUCUGAAUGGAAGGGCCAUCGCUCAACGGAUAAAAGGUACUCCGGGGAUAACAGGCUGAUACCGCCCAAGAGUUCAUAUCGACGGCGGUGUUUGGCACCUCGAUGUCGGCUCAUCACAUCCUGGGGCUGAAGUAGGUCCCAAGGGUAUGGCUGUUCGCCAUUUAAAGUGGUACGCGAGCUGGGUUUAGAACGUCGUGAGACAGUUCGGUCCCUAUCUGCCGUGGGCGCUGGAGAACUGAGGGGGGCUGCUCCUAGUACGAGAGGACCGGAGUGGACGCAUCACUGGUGUUCGGGUUGUCAUGCCAAUGGCACUGCCCGGUAGCUAAAUGCGGAAGAGAUAAGUGCUGAAAGCAUCUAAGCACGAAACUUGCCCCGA